UACGGAGGGUGCGAGCGUUGUCCGGAAUCACUGGGCGUAAAGGGCGCGUAGGCGGCUUGGCAAGUGGAUGGUGAAAUCCCUCGGCUUAACCGAGGAACUGCCAUCCAGACUGCUUCGCUUGAGACCGGGAGAGGUGAGUGGAAUUCCCAGUGUAGCGGUGAAAUGCGUAGAUAUUGGGAGGAACACCAGUGGCGAAGGCGGCUCACUGGACCGGUACUGACGCUGAGGCGCGAAAGCGUGGGGAGCAAACGGG
rnacentral:rRNA from 1 species